rnacentral:rRNA from 1 species
AGUGAACGCUGGCGGCAUGCCUAAUACAUGCAAGUCGAACGACAGCACAGGAAGAUCUCGCCUCUACGGGUGGCGAGUGGCGGGCGGGUGAGGAAUAGAUAGGCAUCCACUUUUACGGGGGUGAUAACGGAGGGCAAGAUAUACUAAUAGAUCAUAUAACCAACGGCAUGAAGCAAUAGAGCAUCGGGCCUUUGCCGUCUCAUUUAGCUGGAUCCGGACCAGCUUGGCUGGUUGGUAAGGUAACGGCUCACCAAGGCAACGAUGCGUGGCCGGUCUGAGAGGGUGAUCCGCCACACUGGAACUGAGACACGGUCCAGACUCCUACGGGAGGCAGCAGUAGGGAAUCUUGCACAAUGGGCGAAAGCCUGAUCCAGCCAUACCGCGUGGGUGAAGAAGGUCUUCGGAUUGUAAAGCCCUUUUAUUGGGAAAGAAAAACAGCGGGUUAAUCCCCCGCUGUUCUGACGGUACCCAAAGAAUAAGCCCCGGCUAACUUCGUG